AACCCAGGGGUAUUUUGCUCUUACGUUUCACUCGCGAGUGAAACGUUAGAGCAAAAUACUCCUGGGUU
rfam:Nematostella vectensis strain CH2 x CH6 NEMVEscaffold_19_Cont3570, whole genome shotgun sequence.